GCUGCUGGGCAAGCGGUAGAUAACUAUGGCUUCUGUACCGUGGUAUAAGUAUCUGAAGUGUUGAAGCACGUUAGAGCAUUAUUACUGGGCGCGAGUAUUUUGAUCACCCUCACUGAACUAAAUUGAGCUUAUGAUAAAUAAAAUACUGCUGCUUGCUGGUCACUGAUUCAAGAUCGUUCAGUGGCUACCAUUGGCCAAUCUCACCAACGGGAUACAAUAAGAACUGAUGCAGGUUUAUAUCUAUAUGUAUUGUCUAUUCGGAACAAAGUUAGUACGCCUUUUAAACCGAUGUUGGAUUUUUCUCCAGAUACAGGCAACCCACUUAACUUUGGAAGUAGUGCGCUGGAUCGUCUAAAGAUAUGCUAAACA